CUUGAACGUCCAGGCUUGCCAUCGGGAAGUACGCAGAACUCUUCCGUUGGUGCGGCUUUUGAGGAGUCCAAACAGAGGCUCCAUAAUCUAGAUGCUUUGGAAGGAGAAGGCGUGACGACCUCUCUAGAUCUCGAGGAGCUACAAAUUGACGGUCACCGUCGUCAGGGUAAAGCUCCACAGUUUUACAAGGUUUGUGCUUGCUUUUUUUCUUUCUUUAUUUCCAUGUGUUUGUAUCUCUGGUUGCAGCCGAAGGAGAACCGUUUCAGGGAGUCCAGACACGUCAUUCCCAUGCACAGACGUGAUCUUCUUUACCGACUGGAUCUGCAGAAUUUCACUCGUGAGCUUUUCUGCCUCUACGACGAGCUUUUCUGCCUCUACGACGAACCGAAGAAGGGGAGGUCCGGAGAAGGAAGUCGAAGCUUGAGUCCCUUUUCGAGAGAGAGCUCCCGGGAACACGGCUCUUUCUUUGCGGAUCGUGUGUUAAUGCUUUUGGAGUUUGUAACAGUGACAUCGAUGUUUGCCUCUCCGUUGAUCAGGAAGAACAGAACAAGAUCGAGCUGCUUGUUCAAAUGGCAACUAUCCUCGAGUCAGAUGCCAUGUUAAACGUACAGGAGGCGUACGACUCAACGUGACUCAUGGUACCCAUAGUUUCUUAUCCGAAUUUUUAGCCAUCCUCGGAGAAAACUUUCCUUUCAUUGUUCUUGGCAACAAGGUCGAUGUCGAUGGAGGGAACAGUAGAGUGGUGAGCUCUUUUGUUUCAUCUCUCGCCUCACUUUAAAGCUUGUGUGUUUAGGUUUCCGAGGAGAAAGCCAAGGUCUGGUGUGCUUCCAAGGGAAACAUUCCAUACUUUGAGGCGUCUGCCAAGGAAGACUACAACGUGGAGGCUGCGUUUCAAUGCAUUGCCAAGAAUGCCUUGAGGAGCGAACCCAAGGAACACUUGUAAGUUUUGCUUGUUUCUUCUUGUGAUGUUUCAAUCUCACAUUUAACUUCUGGCAGCUAUCUUCCAGAGACGAUCGACAUUACAAAUAACAAUUGAUCUACUACUACUGUCCCUCUAUCGAUAAGUGUUUUCGCUUUCAAUUUAUAUGGUUUUUUUCUUUCUUUUUCUUGUCACUCUCUCCUUUCGCUCGUUGGCCUUGGAUUUUUUAACUUCUCAAAUACGUUUUUUUUUUUUUGCUA
rnacentral:lncRNA from 1 species